rnacentral:rRNA from 1 species
AACGAACGCUGGCGGCAUGCCUAACACAUGCAAGUCGAACGAGACCUUCGGGUCUAGUGGCGCACGGGUGCGUAACGCGUGGGAACCUGCCCUUAGGUUCGGAAUAACUCCCCGAAAGGGGUGCUAAUACCGGAUAAUGUCUUCGGACCAAAGAUUUAUCGCCUUUGGAUGGGCCCGCGUUGGAUUCGCUAGUUGGUAGGGUAAAAGCCUACCAAGGCGACGAUUCAUAGCUGGUCUGAGAGGAUGAUCAGCCACACUGGGACUGAGACACGGCCCAGACUCCUACGGGAGGCAGCAGUGGGGAAUAUUGGACAAUGGGCGAAAGCCUGAUCCAGCAAUGCCGCGUGAGUGAUGAAGGCCUUAGGGUUGUAAAGCUCUUUUACCCGGGAUGAUAAUGACAGUACCGGGAGAAUAAGCUCCGGCUAACUCCGUG